UGCAGGGUAGUGUAGUUGAGCACGUGAGUUUUUGGAGCUCGAAGAGGGAGAUUAAAAGCUCUUUCCUGUAA
rnacentral:tRNA from 1 species